rnacentral:lncRNA from 1 species
UGUCUGACCUGUGCUGCUCAACCUGAUGAAAGAGAUGAGCACCUGUGGCAUCGGCCAGAACCGGGUCCUCCCAGAAGCCCAGGAAAACAAUGUGAAGAAACUGCUACCACGCCCUCUGUCUAGGGUGAAUGGCUGGUCACCACCCCUCCACUCCUUUCAGGCAAUAUCCUGGACCACCUACCUGGCCAUGUCCAUUGUCACCUUUGGGAUCUUCAUCCCCUUUCUGCCAACUAGCUGGAAAUAUGCUGCCAAUGCUGUAUCCUUUGUACUAGUAGGGCGGGCCCCUGGGCUACCUAUCUCUUGGAAGGGGGAGGGCUUCUGAAGGGCUUCAAGAGCGUUGGGUCUGAGCCCUAACAUGCCCAUGCAAUGGGCUCUGUCUGCCUAGACCACUUGUUCCUGUGACCCCACAUUGCCUGAUAGAAGGUGUUCUUGCUAUUGUGAACAUUAGAAUCUCCUAUAUACAAGGUGACAAGUGGGACCCUGGAAAUGGUGACCCAAGGAAAGGGAGGCAGCUAUGUGACUGCAGUCACAUCUUUUUUACAGUGUACAGAUAAGCCCUUCUCUGUUGACUCACAGGGUAGCCAAAUAAACAAGAAAGGAUUUCAGAAGCAUAUACGUGGCUGCCACUGACCCACAGCCUGCCAGUGUCCUUGGAUACCCUUGUAGAGCCCAUUGCUAAAGCAUGGAAGGUAGACAGGAGCCCUGUUCCUGGACAGGCCUUUAGAGGUGGUUCCCCAGGGCAGUGGGAAGACCUACAUCCAUACUCACUUCC